CCGAGCAUGGUGAUGACGUCGCGCAUGGACGGCCUGUCGCGCGGCAACCUGGCGGUGCAGAGCACGGCGAUGCGGAGCACCAGCAGCAUCUCCUCCCUGACGUGCGG
rnacentral:snoRNA from 1 species